AUGUAUAUGUACUAUAUAAAUAGUGAUAGUACAUAAAGUACAUAGCUGCCUCGAAUGACAGUUGGAUGAAAAUAAAUUAUCAAUCAAAAGCUUCGGGUACAUUUCCGAUAUUUCCCACAUAAAUAUUUAUAUAAUUAGCGAGAUAAUUAGUUGAAAUACAUUUGUCAAAAUAAUUACAUCAAAUCAUAUUGAGGCUCUAUGCCGCGCUUUACGAUGCAACUCUCUUCCGGCCCGAAGGAACAGUCCAUUCGCCACCUGUCCAUUUCCGAAGACAUCAAGCAGAGGAGAUUGGUGCAACCCUCCAAAUAGUAUCGUCCGGCAUGGGGAAUUCCGAUCAUCGUCCAAAAUUCGAAGGCUGGCGGUUUUGAAAGUUUCAAUAUGCAUCAGAGUUUUUUGAAGCGGCUCUGCUCUUUCGAUCCGGAAUCAUCCUCAAAAAUUAAUAUAGCAAAGAAAAUUCAUUAAAACUAAACAUAAAAUUAUUUUAAAUUUAAGGAAAGUUAAAUCUUCCAUGUAUUCUGGGAAAAUAUGUAGCAUUUCUUUCUAAA